GGGGUUGUGGCUCAGUGGUAGAGUGCUUGCCUUGCAUGUGUGAGGCACUGAGUUCAAACCUCAGCACCACA
rnacentral:tRNA from 1 species